UACGAAGGGGGCUAGCGUUGUUCGGAAUUACUGGGCGUAAAGGGCGCGUAGGCGGUGUGUCAAGUCAGGCGUGAAAGCCCCGGGCUCAACCUGGGAACCGCGCUUGAGACUGGCACGCUCGAGUCCGGGAGAGGAUGGUGGAAUUCCCAGUGUAGAGGUGAAAUUCGUAGAUAUUGGGAAGAACACCGAUGGCGAAGGCAGCCAUCUGGACCGGCACUGACGCUGAGGCGCGAAAGCGUGGGGAGCGAACAGG
rnacentral:rRNA from 1 species